AUUGAACGCUGGCGGCAGGCUUAACACAUGCAAGUCGAGCGGGGUGAUGGUGCUUGCACUAUCACUUAGCGGCGGACGGGUGAGUAAUGCUUAGGAAUCUGCCUAUUAGUGGGGGACAACAUCUCGAAAGGGAUGCUAAUACCGCAUACGUCCUACGGGAGAAAGCAGGGGAUCACUUGUGACCUUGCGCUAAUAGAUGAGCCUAAGUCGGACUAGCUAGUUGGUGGGGUAAAGGCCUACCAAGGCGACGAUCUGUAGCGGGUCUGAGAGGAUGCUACGACACACUGGGACUGAGACACGGCCCAGACUCCUACGGGAGGCAGCAGUGGGGAAUAUUGGACAAUGGGGGGAACCCUGAUCCAGCCAUGCCGCGUGUGUGAAGAAGGCCUUAUGGUUGUAAAGCACUUUAAGCGAGGAGGAGGCUCUUUUGGUUAAUACCCAAGAUGAGUGGACGUUACUCGCAGAAUAAGCACCGGCUAACUCUGUGCCAGCCGCCGCCGUAA
rnacentral:rRNA from 1 species